rnacentral:rRNA from 1 species
AACGCUAGCUACAGGCUUAACACAUGCAAGUCGUGGGGCAGCAUGGGAGAUGCUUGCAUUUCCUGAUGGCGACCGGCGCACGGGUGAGUAACGCGUAUCCAACCUGCCCUUCACUCCGGCACAGCCCGUCGAAAGACGGAUUAAUGCGGGAUGCAGUCAGAAAGAUGCAUAUUAAUUUGACGAAAGGCUUUAUGCCGGUGAGGGAUGGGGAUGCGUCCGAUUAGCUUGACGGCGGGGUAACGGCCCACCGUGGCUACGAUCGGUAGGGGUUCUGAGAGGAAGGUCCCCCACAUUGGAACUGAGACACGGUCCAAACUCCUACGGGAGGCAGCAGUGAGGAAUAUUGGUCAAUGGGCGAGAGCCUGAACCAGCCAAGUAGCGUGCAGGAUGACGGCCCUAUGGGUUGUAAACUGCUUUUAUAAGGGAAUAAAGUGAGUCUCGUGAGACUUUUUGCAUGUACCUUAUGAAUAAGGACCGGCUAAUUCCGUGCCAGCAGCCGCGGUAAUACGGAAGGUCCGGGCGUUAUCCGGAUUUAUUGGGUUUAAAGGGAGCGUAGGCCGGAGAUUAAGCGUGUUGUGAAAUGUAGAUGCUCAACAUCUGCACUGCAGCGCGAACUGGUUUCCUUGAGUACGCACAAAGUGGGCGGAAUUCGUGGUGUAGCGGUGAAAUGCUUAGAUAUCACGAAGAACUCCGAUUG